rnacentral:ncRNA from 1 species
CUCAUGGGGAAUGCGGUCUCCCCACGGGGGGACAGGCCGAAGCAUCGCGUCCCGCACUUCGCCAAGGACGCCCCAUG